GUGGUUGUAGUUUAGUGGUAAGAAUUCCACAUUGUGGCUGUGGAGACUUAGGCUCGAAUCCCAAUAACCACA
rfam:Vitis vinifera, whole genome shotgun sequence of line PN40024, unoriented chromosome 9, chr9